AAGAGAGCUGCAAAGCAUGAGGCAAUCAAAUUGCCUUGUAUCCAUUCAAUGUAUGUCCUCUUUAAGGGGUCGCUUAGCCAUGUAAUCAGGUGCCUAAUUAGCCUCCCUGAAAACAUGGGUAGCAUAAAACAGUAAGCUAGAAGAGAAGCCUUCCAUUACAUGAUAUCCUGAAGUAGAAGAGUCACCCUCCAACUAUAUUUGAUCGGCUUUUAGAUUAUUCACUGUAAUGGAAAUUCCUAGCCAAAUAGCUAUCAGUUCGGCAU
rnacentral:lncRNA from 1 species